GACGAACGCUGGCGGCGUGCUUAACACAUGCAAGUCGAACGGAAAGGCCCUGCUUUUGUGGGGUGCUCGAGUGGCGAACGGGUGAGUAACACGUGAGUAACCUGCCCUUGACUUUGGGAUAACUUCAGGAAACUGGGGCUAAUACCGGAUAGGAGCUCCUGCUGCAUGGUGGGGGUUGGAACGUUUCGGCGGUUGGGGAUGGACUCGCGGCUUAUCAGCUUGUUGGUGGGGUAGUGGCUUACCAAGGCUUUGACGGGUAGCCGGCCUGAGAGGGUGACCGGCGACAUUGGGACUGAGAGACGGCGCAGACUCCUACGGGAGGCAGCAGUGGGGAGUAUGGCACAAUGGGCGGAAGCCUGAUGAAGCAACGCCGCGUGCGGGAUGACGGCCUUCGGGUUGUAAACCGCUUUCGCCUGUGACGAAGCGUGAGUGACGGUAAUGGGUAAAGAAGCACCGGCUAACUACGUG
rnacentral:rRNA from 1 species